CCUACGGGAGGCAGCAGUGAGGAAUCUUGGUCAAUGGCCGUAAGGCUGAACCAGCCAAGUAGCGUGAGGGAAGACUGCCCUAUGGGUUGUAAACCUCUUUUAUGCGGGGAUAAAGGUGUCCACGUGUGGAUGUUUCCAGGUACCGCAUGAAUAAGGACCGGCUAAUUCCGUGCCAGCAGCCGCGGUAAUACGGAGGGUCCGGGCGUUGUCCGGAUUUAUUGGGUUUAAAGGGAGCGUAGGCCGGUCUUUAAGCGUGCCGUGAAAUUUUGUGGCUCAACCAUGGGGGUGCGGCGGGAACUGGAGGCCUUGAGUGCGCAGAAGGCAAGCGGAAUUCGUGGUGUAGCGGUGAAAUGCUUAGAUAUCACGAAGAACCCCAAUGGCGAAGGCAGCCUGCCGCAGCGUUACUGACGCUGAAGCUCGAAAGCGCGGGUAGCGAACAGGAUUAGAUACCCGAGUAGUC
rnacentral:rRNA from 1 species